rnacentral:rRNA from 1 species
AGAGUUUGAUCAUGGCUCAGGAUGAACGCUAGCGGCAGGCUUAACACAUGCAAGUCGAGGGGCAGCACGGAUAGCAAUAUCUGGUGGCGACCGGCGCACGGGUGAGUAACGCGUUUGCAAUCUACCUCUAACUGGGGGAUAGCCCGGAGAAAUUCGGAUUAAUACCCCAUGAUAUUAUGAAGAGGCAUCUCUUUAUAAUUAAAGCUCCGGCGGUUAGAGAUGAGCAUGCGUGACAUUAGCUAGUUGGUGAGGUAACAGCUCACCAAGGCAACGAUGUCUAGGGGGUCUGAGAGGAUGAUCCCCCACACUGGUACUGAGACACGGACCAGACUCCUACGGGAGGCAGCAGUGAGGAAUAUUGGGCAAUGGACGCAAGUCUGACCCAGCCAUGCCGCGUGCAGGAUGAAUGCCCUAUGGGUUGUAAACUGCUUUUGUACGGGAAGAAACACUCGCUCGUGAGCGGGAUUGACAGUACCGUAUGAAUAAGCAUCGGCUAACUCCGUGCCAGCAGCCGCGGUAAUACGGAGGAUGCAAGCGUUAUCCGGAUUCAUUGGGUUUAAAGGGUGCGUAGGCGGAAUAUUAAGUCAGUGGUGAAAUCCUGCAGCUUAACUGUAGAACUGUCAUUGAUACUGAUAUUCUUGAAUGCAGUUGAGGUAGGCGGAAUGUGUAAUGUAGCGGUGAAAUGCUUAGAUAUUACACAGAACACCGAUUGCGAAGGCAGCUUACUAAACUGUGAUUGACGCUGAGGCACGAAAGCGUGGGUAGCAAACAGGAUUAGAUACCCUAGUAGUCC